GUGUUCGCUUUGGCAGCACAUACACUAAAAUUGGAAUGAUACAGAGAAGGUUAGCAUUGUCUCUGUGCAAGAAUGACAUGCAAAUUUGUGAAGCGUUCUGCAUUUUU